AUACGUAGGGAGCGAGCGUUGUCCGGAAUUACUGGGUGUAAAGGGUGCGUAGGCGGGACUGCAAGUCAGAUGUGAAAUGCCGGGGCUCAACCCCGGAGCUGCAUUUGAAACUGUGGUUCUUGAGUUUGGUAGAGGAAAACGGAAUUCCCAGUGUAGCGGUGAAAUGCGCAGAUAUUGGGAAGAACACCGGUGGCGAAGGCGGUUUUCUGGGCCACAACUGACGCUGAGGUGCGAAAGCUAGGGGAGCAAACAGGAUUAGAUACCCUGGUAGUCCUAGCCGUAAACGAUGGAUACUAGGUGUGGGGAGGCAUUCUCUCCGUGCCGCAGCUAACGCAUUAAGUAUCCCGCCUGGGGAGUACGGCCGCAAGGCUAAAACUCAAAUGAAUUGGCGGGG
rnacentral:rRNA from 1 species